rnacentral:rRNA from 1 species
UACGUAGGGUGCGAGCGUUGUCCGGAUUUACUGGGCGUAAAGAGCGCGCAGGCGGUCGUUUCAAGUCGCGUGUGAAAGCCCCCGGCUCAACUGGGGAGGGUCACGCGAUACUGAUCGACUCGAAGGCAGGAGAGGGUAGUGGGAAUUCCCGGGUGUAGUGGUGAAAUGCGUAGAUAUCGGCAGGAACAGCCCAAGGGAAGCCAGCCGACCAUGGGCC